CGAUUACGGGAGGCAGCAGUGGGGAAUUUUGGACAAUGGGCGAAAGCCUGAUCCAGCAAUGCCGCGUGUGUGAUGAAGGCCUUCGGGUUGUAAAGCACUUUUGGCGGGAACGAAAAGGGCUGUGCUAAUACCACGGUUCGAUGACGGUACCCGCAGAAUAAGCACCGGCUAACUACGUGCCAGCAGCCGCGGUAAUAUCG
rnacentral:rRNA from 1 species